rnacentral:rRNA from 1 species
CGUCUCAGUUCAGAUUGCAGGCUGCAACUCGCCUGCAUGAAGUCGGAAUUGCUAGUAAUCGCAGAUCAGCAUGCUGCGGUGAAUACGUUCCCGGGCCUUGUACACACCGCCCGUCACACCAUGGGAGUCGGUAACACCCGAAGUCGGUAGCCUAACCGUAAGGAGGGCGCCGCCGAAGGUGGGAUUGAUGACUGGGGUGAAGUCGUAACAAGGUACC